ACGUUGUCAAUAAACUGGCUGCUCAUUCGCUUGGCGGUGUUGGUACUAACCAUAGAGCCCUGCCAUUGGACGCAUACACAGAGGAAGAACACGGCGAUAUUGCUGAGCAAUCUAAUCGUGCACCAGGCUCCGAAAUGCGAGCGGCUGUCCCGAGAGCUGGACCAGUUCGCCAAGCAGCUGACUCUGAGCAACACCACGUUCUCCGCGCUCGGAGUCUACACCCUGAAUCGGAAGCUCUCAGCAGCGAUUCUCGGUGGCGUCACAACGUACAUGGUUUUUAUUAUACAGUUUCAAGCGAUUUCAAGUGGUUAAUGUAUU